GUAACUGUAGUUCUCUCAAAAAAGAAAAAAAAAAUAACUGCAGCAAGAGCUGCUUUUAUUUUGAUGUAAGCCACAAACGAAAUCAAAAAACAUAAUUUUCCUCAGUUCCACGGUAGCUGGCUGGAAGCGAUUGAUAGACGACUCAAACGAUACGCAUAGCAGACUCAGUGAAAACGGAGUCGUUCCGCAAUGUUCACCGAACCAGUAGAUCAGAAACGUAGGAACUCCUCUAGUCUGUCUACACCUGAUGGGAAAAGUAAACCAAAGGCAUUUGGUGGCAAUACCUAAGAUAAGGGUGGUUCAUUGAGUGACAUGGAUUCCAAUUGAGAAGCCAGUUGGGUUAUAGUUAAAAAGAAGAUGGUCGCAAUUUUGAUGCCUCCCCUCUACCUAAUGCCAGGAAAAUUAUAGCACCAAAGCAGGGACCAACUGAGCUCGAAAGUGUGCCUAUUCAACCUUUAUUUAAUAAAUGCACCAAACCAGUUGAGACUUUGAAUACGAUGCCUUCGGUGGAUGAGCAAGAGAAGGUCACAUCAGUAGUUCCUACUUCCUAAUAAAGGCAGUAUAAUGUCAAAAAAGCCUUUUACACUUCAUAUUUUGGCAUCACACAAGUUACCAAGAGUAAAUGUAGAAAUGAGGUAGAUCGAUAAUGUGCUUGGGGUAUCAAACAUCUCAAAGACAAUCAAGCUGCCGAGACUAUGGGAUGUAUAACCAACAAAUUUUCUAGGUGGAAAUGCGCUACUAAAUCAGAGGCUAAGCGCAUUACUACUAGAGAAAAAACUUCAGAAAGCUGGUGGACUGAGAAGGUGGUUAGCAUCAAUUGGGUUGGGGCAGUUUGUGAAUAUGUUUCAAGGUAAUAUCAUUAAGUUUCAAUUGGUUAAUCUUACUAUGAAGAAGUUUAAAAAUAUGGGAGCAGAUGCAGUAGGCCCUCGGAGAAUUCUGAUCCACAUCAUUGACUUUAUCUGCCAGCCAUAUUGUUAUGGAGCCCGACAAAUGUUCUCGUAUUUUUGUAACAUCUGGCAAAACAGGGAGAAUAUCGUUCUCGAUACUUAAAGAGAGAUAUCGGUAUGCUGCUUCUGUCGGAUGAAAAGCAUCCCAAAAUAAAUAUUGUGAAGAAUUUCUGCAGACCGAUGAAAUUACAUGAUUCCGAGCAAAUUCUAUCUCGAAAGGUAGACAACCCAUUGGAGGGAGUCCGGCCACUACCACCUUUCGGAGACCGAGAUUAUACAGGUCCUAUUAAUUCCAAAAAUAAUAAAAAGAUAUUAUUAUUUGAAAGAAAAAUAAUCAAAUAAUAACUGAAUUAAAACCGUUAUCACAUCUUAAUUUUAAGUUUUAUUAGUAUGUUAUACAUUAUAAAGUUAUUUUUCAAAAGUUAUGUAUAAAACUAUAAAAAUGAAAUUUCAAAAUAUUUAAAUGCAAAUUUCUUUA